CACCAACCAACGCCAGGGAAUUACGAGCUAUGCUUAAAACCCAAAGGACUUGACGGUUUCCCACCCCCCUAGAGGAGCCUGUUCUAUAAUCGAUGAUCCCCGCUAUACCUAACCACCCCUCGCCAUCAGUCUGUAUACCUCCGUCGAAAGCUUACCAUAUGAAUGCUUCAGUAGGCCCAAUGAUCCCCGUCAACACGUCAGGUCAAGGUGCAGCUUAAGGAAUGGGAAGUGAUGGGCUACAAUUUCUAAACUAGAACAAACGAAAGACUAGGUGAAACCCUGGUCAUGAAGGCGGAUUUAGUAGUAAAAAGAAAAUAGAGUGUUCUUUUUAACAUGGCUCUGGGACGCGUACACACCGCCCGUC
rnacentral:rRNA from 1 species